GUGAAUAAGUUUUGUGUCAAGUCUGAAGAUGACUAGUUUCUUUGGCAGCAUGCAUUGCAUGAUGAAAAUUAACAAAAAGCAUUGUCAUAAAAGUAGUUGUAUCUGGAAAACCAGAAUCCAUCUUCCAUUGUCAGAGAUUUUCUAGGAAAAUCGUACAAAUUCUCUGUUUUCCCAUGUUUUGGAUAUAUAAUCUGAGAUCCUGCAAUCUUUCUUGAAGAAUGGCUGAGCUUUCACUGCAGCCACUAAGAUAAAUAGGAACGCUACUCUCAGCACACAUACUGCUACAUAUUCUGAGAAAUCAGACCUCAGGCAUCUCAAAUUACUACCCCAAAUUAGCCAGCACUUUUGACAAUUCCCUAUCUGUAACAUGGGGAGAAUGAUACUACAGGGACAUUAUGAAGAUAAAUUCAUUAAUUUCUGUUAAUAACUAGGAUACUAAGAAAAAAAAAAAACACCAGGGAAAAGCCCAUUAGAAAAUGAAUAAUUAUGUAUUCAGUGCAAGGUUUGGAUGGUGUGCAGGAAAUUAGGCAUGGGGCCAUAUAUUAAAUGAUGAGAAGAAAAUGAAAUACUGUACGACUGCUCAUUUUGUGAGCACAGUCUGUCUUGUGCACUGAAUGUGUCAGUGGUCCUGGGGGUGGACUUGGCUGUAUAAUUAAAGACAGCAUCAUAAUAUAUGCACAAAGACCCCUGUAAUUCUCUUCUAUAUCCCAUUGUAUUGUGAAUUUCUAAUUCUAUCAUUUCUUUGCUAAGUAUCUUUUCAGGUGCUAAAUGUAUGCUUAGAAUAUGAAAUAAACUGCUGAAUGUUAUGGGUGGGAAAUUACUAGGUCCCAGCUUCAGAAAUGAUGGAGCUCCCUUAUUUUUUUUAUCCAGUAUAAUCUGUUAAAUUUGUGAGAGAACCAAAAGGAUGACCAUUUGGACACCUUUGAAAAUGCUACGACCUUUCAUGAACAUUAAGCCUUUCCUUGUACUGGUAUUGACUGCUUUGUGAAUGAAACAUAGCACAGGUCAGCCAUGUGAAUUGCAUGGAUCUGUAGAAUCCAAGAAAUCUUUAUAUUUCUCAGAAGAUGAGCAGGAUGAACAGAGCUUCUGUGAGCGUUGAGCAUACUCUAUGGAAUACGAAGGUAGAGAGUUCUUUGAAGCUAAGUUUGUAUAAAAACAGUCUCUUUAGAAUUUCAAGCCAUUUUCAUAGACUAGAGGCAGUAAAUAUAUUUUCAUUUCAAUCAUUUGAAUAAAGCAGUUAAUUUUACAAUGAUUCUCUUCAUCAAACUUGUCCAAAAUUCUGACUGAAGAGGUGUGAAAACCUGGACAACACACAUCAAGAAAAAGGCUAGCAGGACUCAAAGUGACUGAAAAUACAAGCCUCCAGAUAAGGUGGUAGAAGCCUGCAAUUGUGUUAUUGACAGUUGCACCUGAGACAUGGACUGUUGUGAAACAGCACAUUUGAGGUACACUGCAUACCAACUAUGAGGCAGAUCCAAGGCCUUCGAGGUACAUGUGGCUAUUCUGCCACAUGUGUCUCAGUAGCUGACUUCUUUGCCAAACUUCCUUAUGAUUACAUCUCUACUACGCUAACUGUAUUUCAAAAUCUGCCUUAAAGUUAGUUCAAAGCUCAUUUUAAUCACUAAAAAGAAAUUGCCAUUGGCUUCACUGCAGAUAUCAUCAGUUGGCUCUGAUCCAUUCCACCACAGGGUCUGAGGGAGCUCGUCAGCCCUUUCUCCAGCAUCCAUGUCUGGGUGGCAUCUGGCCAUUUACUAGUUGGAAGAGACAGCACUAAGGUCAGAAAGUCAUCUUAUCUUCCUCUGAAUAAGGGCUAGAUUUCACUGCCAGAUUUAUCAUUCUAUUUCUCAUAUGAAUAAAAAAUUUCAGGUCAAUGAGAAAGCACAAGAGGGUCUUUGUACAAGUGGAUGGUAGAAUUUCAGCACUAGAUGCUGUGGGCAAAUCAUUACUGUCACUUGUUUGUUUUGUUAUUUCUGAGGUUCUCCCCCCUCUGUAACUCUGCAUUAUAUCGGCUCCAAAAUGUGGUGGAAACAAACUUAUGAGUAUGUAUCUACAGGUAAUGCAUUCACUUCCUGGGUGUAACAAAAACUCUUCAGAGGGUGAAGCUGCUUCAACAUUUCUGAAAGUCCUUUGUCACCUCACUCCUUCCAGUACCCUAAACAAUUGAGAAACUGAGUUGAUAAAAUAUUCCUUUGAGGGAAAUUGAGUUGGAAGUCCUCAUGGAUACAGAUGGCAGCAUCAGAACUGUGAGCUGAUUGGGAAAGUGUGAGAAGAUGCAUCAGAUCUUGCUGUGCUUUCAAACAUGGUAAAAAGCAGUACAGAUACUCUGAAAUGCAUGGAAUGAUGUCUACUAUACAAAUCUGAAACAUCAUCGACUAAAGAUCUGAUACAACCAACUCUGAAAAACAGAAGAUUUGAGCCUUCAAAUGUCAGGAAAGCAUUUAUAUCAAAUAUUCUCUUGGAAUAGGAUGAUUUAAUGGUAAAACAACAGUUCAAAUAUUAUUUAUUUCUAAACUGGGAAAAACCCAGGAAGUCCUGACUGCUUACCUCUUCCAAACUAUGAUAGUUGAGCUACAACCUCAUGCUGAAGUGUCAAGUGACAAAAGAUAGAUUUCACCAAAUGGCCCAAUUGAGUGAUCUGUUUCCUGCCUUAGUUCACACAGACCUGAGUGCAUCCACCUCUGAAACACACUGCUAAGUCCAUUUAUUCUGAAGCACAUUUUCAGAGAAGAGAGGCCACACAGAAGAACAUUGGUCAGAAG
ensembl:lncRNA